GAUGAACGCUGGCGGCGUGCCUAAUACAUGCAAGUCUAGCGAACAGACGUGGAGCUUGCUCCUCUGACGUUAGCGGCGGACGGGUGAGUAACACGUGGAUAACCUACCUAUAAGACUGGGAUAACUUCGGGAAACCGGAGCUAAUACCGGAUAAUAUAUUGAACCGCAUGGUUCAAUAGUGAAAGACGGUUUUGCUGUCACUUAUCGAUGGAUCCGCGCCGCAUUAGCUAGUUGGUAAGGUAACGGCUUACCAAGGCAACGAUGCGUAGCCGACCUGAGAGGGUGAGCGGCCACACUGGAACUGAGACACGGUCCAGACUCCUACGGGAGGCAGCGGUAGGGAAUCUUCCACAAGGGGCGAAAGCCUGACGGAGCAACGCCGCGUGAGUGAUGAAGGUCUUCGGAUCGUAAAACUCUGUUAUUAGGGAAGAACAAAUGUGUAAGUAACUAUGCACGUCUUGACGGUACCUAAUCAGAAAGCCACGGCUAACUACGUG
rnacentral:rRNA from 1 species